AUUACUUUUAUAAUUCCUAAUUUUAUUUUAUUUUACUUGUUACGUCUUUCUAUAGCUUUAAAACCUUUUAUAAAAAUAAAUUGUUAUAAAAGGUACUGAAACUGUAAUUCACGUAAGCAGCGACCAAUAGAGCACGUAAGAGCAGAGCGUUUGUCUCGAGCGUGGUCGAGGCGCCAUCUUUACUUUGGAAAGGCUUGUAUUGUCGGUUGACACAUUUUUUGAGAGAAUAGAGAAUUUAAUUUAGGUUUCGGUAUCCCUCUAGCACUGACUUCUGCUCAACUUGUAUUGAAUUGAAUGAAAGAAUCGAAAAAGAAAACGAUCGAAUCGAAAAAAAUGAGUUAAUGACUGCACUAGCUCUUUAAAAAAAAACUAAUAUUAAAAAAAAAAAUGUUGAAAAAAAAGGCAUGCCCGCUGAGUUUCUUGCCAGUUCUUCUCAGGACGGAGGCUGGUUUUUGUCAAUUGGCGGUAGUUCUUUUUGACGUUCAACAAGUAUGUAUGUAUCUUUCAUUUAUGUUGAAUAAUAUUUUUUUUGAUUUCAUUGAUUUUAUUGAUAAGACUGAGAGUGCAUAAAUUACGAGCAAAGACGUUCUUUAAAAUGCUGCAGGAGCAAAAAGAUCAUAUUAUGAUAAUCUUCUCCUUUGAUUUCCAGAAAAACUGUCCACUCUCUCGAAUUCCCGACCAAAGUGCUUACUUACUACAGUCGCCAAUUUUACUUAUAUAAUUUUACUAUUGUGCAAGGAUCCUCUAAAGACAAGCUUAAUAACUUAGAAUAAUAAGAAACCUAGCCAUAUUUACUAAGCACAUUACUCGGCCCGUCAGUGCUCUCAAAUAUAUUAAGUGUACAAUCUAUGGUCAGUGCUCAAAGACGUGUCGUAUUGAAAACUACUCUCAAUUUUUUAUUAAAAAUGACGGUUUGUGCAGUGAACGGAUGUCACAGUAUAUCGGAAAAACACAAGAAACAUAGUGUGGGUGACUCAAAUGUAUUCAUUUAUUUUAUAAUAUUUUAUUAUAAUUACACUACACAACAACACAUACAUACUUUAUUUUAUAUCAACACAUUCAUUUAUCUCACAAUCAUACAAAACAUUAUUUACACUAAACAAAAUUAAUUCACAAACAAAGUCAGGCGAUAACUGCAGUAUAGCGGCGACGAUAAUAUUUCGCGAGUACAUCGGUGCAUAGACGAACCGGUUGUCGCAUUUUUACCGAUCCAGUCGAAAUCUGACUUGCGAGCGCGCAUCCCGUGUUAUUCUUUUUGUACUACGCCUUUUAAUUAUUGCUCUUUGUUUCGUGUUAAAGCUUGUGCUGCUUGAACUAUUUCAUGUUACUUUCUCCUUCUUUUAUAUUUGUGUUCGUCUUAAAUAAAAACUUUCUUUGUGUCCUUUUGUGUUUGAAAAGACAUUAAAUUACAACCCGAGACGACUAAAGAUAGUAAAGUAACAUUACAUUUCACGGGUUUCCUUCUGAUCCGAUCAUUGCGGCUUGAUGGACGGGAAAAAUUAGACGUAAUCGAAAUGUAGACAAUUGGGUGCCAGCUAAAAAUACAAAAAUUUGUUCCUUACAUUUCGAGGAUAAAGAAAAGUAUAUUACUAAAGGUGAUCUUUGUACAUUACGCAGGGGUGUAGUUCCAACUAAAAAUCUGCCCGUUUUUAUUAUUGAAGAGAUUGUUAAUAGCAGUAGCUUAUGAUGUUGUGAUUUACAGCAACACCAAGAGCGAAAUCUACCUCAGCCGUGUACCUCAGGCUGUAAUACGAGUGAAAACGAUAAUCUGGGCACUCAGUCACCUUUAUCUUCAGGACUAGAUUCCAUUUUUGAUACGCCUAAAAAGGCUUCCUUACGGAGACACCUACGGAAAAAGAUUUUGCUGCAACGAAAUAAAGUAGAAAGAUUAAGACUCUAAAGCAAAAUAAUCACCGUUUAAAGAAAAUAAACGUCACAUUUAAAAAUAUUUUAGUAGACUUGCAGAAGAAAAGAUAUAUCAAUAAUGACAUCUCCAACAUUUUGUUGGAAAAUAUAUUUGUAGCAGAACUAUGCAAUAGCUUGGUUAAAAAAAUACGUAAAGAAAAAAACGACCGAUGCCCAUAUUAGUUGGUUUUAGAAAGUUCUGCUUUACUCUGCAUUUUUAUUCGCCACGAGCAUACACCUAUGUUCGUAAAACAUUUAAUACGUGCCUUCCACACCCGAAAACAAUUUAUAGCUGGUAUAGAACAAUAAAUGGUUCCCCGGGCUUUACCGAUGAAACUAUUAACAUUUUGAAAUCAAAAGUACAACAGUGUAUGCAGAAGAAAUUAUAUUAAUAUGUGGCUUGGUCAUCAAUUUGUCAUCAAGUGUGAAAUAGUUUCAACUUGCCCUAUUUUUAGGCAAAGUUAAUUUAUUGGCAACAUUAUUUUUUUCACCGUUUCGCGUUACGUCGAGCGUAAAUACAAAUACCUUACGCACACAUAGAUUAUAUUCUUGCCUCGCUUUUGACAGACCGCUUUGAAGAGAACUAUCGUUCUAUGAGUUAUUAUUCUAAGCUCAAUAAAAACACAACCUUUGCAUACACCUGGACAGAAAACGAAUUUGGUAAAACAGCUAAUUAAAUAGCGUCAGCCGUCUAUGAUAGAUUAAAUAAAACGAAUUUAUCAGGGAUCACUAUCAUACGCUUAUUUGCCGACGGAUGUGGUGGGCAAAACAAAAAUAGCAUAAUGCAAAGUAUGCUAUCAAAAAAUGGUUAUUGGAAAAAGCUUCUGUCAAAUAUAUCGAAAUAAUAUCUCCCGUAACAGGGUAUAGUUUAAUGCCUCCGGAUAGUCUUCGGUAAUAUAGAAAAGGUUCUAAAGAAACUAGAAGUAAUCAUCAUCCAACCAGAAGAGUAUUGCGACAUCAUUUCAAGUAAUGCGACGAUAACGAAUCUAAGGGAUAUUAUUAUGUUAGACUUCUAAAGAGCCACUCAAGAGCUUUUUAAGCCGACAGCGAAAUGGCCAUUCACAAUAGCCGAAUGCAAAGAUUCAUUAUAAAAAGAUCGAAGACCUCAGGAAACACAGUUAUCCGCGGUGUACCGUUUUAUAAUUCAGAUACGGAAUAAAGCCUUUAAUGUCUGCAAAACCGGUAAAAAUACAAACCUACCACAAUUUCAAUGGGAGUGCCUGUAACGUAGGCCAAAAUAACGGAUGUUGAGAAAUUGUUAGCAAAACAUUUCGAAUUAGCAAUUUUGGCAAGACAGAGAAGACUUAACAUUUUACGUAGGUAUUAUUAUUAGAGGGCCAUUUGUUGAAUUUAAUCAAAAUUUAGAAGAAAGAUUUUGUGGAGGGAUAGCAGAAGAAUCACCAGUAUUAACAAUAUAAUAAGUAUUUAAUAUAUAAUAAGUAUUUCACUUAUCUAAUUAAAAAUGUAUUAAAAUUUGUAACAAAAUAAGAUAA